AUUUAAAAACAUAACAAUACUACGUAUUUGUUCAUGAAUAUAACAUAAAAAAGGCAAUUUAAUAUUAUUUAAAAUAAUUAACGAUAACGAUAAAGAUAACGAUAAAGAUAUAGCUUUAAAAAUCGUUCUCAAUAUUAAAGAAUAGCAUAGUUCACACCACAACUAUAACGAUAACGAUACAGAGGAACGAUAUCGUUGUGAUCACUUUCAAAACGAUUUUUUUCCAGCUGAUGAACGAUCAAACACUGACAGCCAAUCAGAAUCGACUCGAAUUUAAAGGGCUCGCGCGUUUAAAAUGCAGAAGACAUUGCAGAGAGGCUAAUCAUAGAAGUUCAGAAAAACCCACCACUAUUUGACAAGUCAAACUCCCUUUUCAGGGAUACUGUUAAAAAAAUGGAUAUAUGGAAAACAAUCGGACAUACCCUCGGAAUGAAUGGUGAGAAGUAUUAACGGAGAUUAGAUCAUUAUACCAGGCUAGCAAAUUUUUUUAAAUUUAUUAUGGUUACAAUCAGUAUUAUUAAAGCUACAUAUUCUGUAUAAUAUGUAUGCCUACAUUUACCCUUUGUUUCCCUCACAUUUUGUGUAUUAAAGUUUAUACUUAGGUCAAAUUAAUUUGUGACUUAAAGAUUAUAUAUUUCUUUAUUUAUAGGGGAUAGUGCUAGGAAAAAGCGGAUCAACAUCCGAGAUGCCUAUCACCUAAACAGAAAAAAUGCAGCCACUAAAAGUGGAGACCCAGCUAAGUUUCUGAAGCCAUACAAAUAUGCAGGGAUCCUGGAAUUUAUGAUCCCAGACCCUCAAUACAGGGAAACAUCCAGUAACCUACCAGAUGAGGCAGAUGAUUCAGAGGAGGCAAAGGAUGCAGAUGAGAGACAGCUAGAACCAAAAGGGCAGAAGAGAGCAGAACCAGGGAAUAAAUUCACCACUGCAUCCAAAAGGAGUGCUGCUAGUGCUCCAUCUGCAGUUGAUGCUGCAAUAAUGGAGUAUUUGAAUAGCAGGAAACACCAUCAGGAGGAUGAGCUUGAUGCACUUUUUAAAGUCAAUGGCUUCCUCCAUGCGAAAGAUGCCGGAGCACACAAAAGCAAAGCUAAAAUUUAAGAUUCAUGAGCUAGUCCAUAGAGCAGAAAUGGAGGCAAUGUAUGAAGCCAGUGGAUCCUCUUUGGGCAGUGAAUUUGAGUACACAUUUUUAUAGGCUUCCACUUACUGUUAAACUUAACAAAAUGUGCAGAAAAAUGUAUGUAAAUGU
ensembl:lncRNA